rnacentral:rRNA from 1 species
GACGAACGCUGGCGGCGUGCUUAACACAUGCAAGUCGAACGGAGUGCUCAUGACAGAGGUUUCGGCCAAUGAAGUGAGUUACUUAGUGGCGGACUGGUGAGUAACGCGUGAGGAACCUGCCUUUCAGAGGGGGACAACAGUUGGAAACGGCUGCUAAUACCGCAUAAUGCAUUUGGGUGGCAUCACUUGAAUGUCAAAGAUUUAUCGCUGAAAGAUGGCCUCGCGUCCGAUUAGAUAGUUGGUGGGGUAACGGCCCACCAAGUCGACGAUCGGUAGCCGGACUGAGAGGUUGGCCGGCCACAUUGGGACUGAGAUACGGCCCAGACUCCUACGGGAGGCAGCAGUGGGGAAUAUUGGGCAAUGGACGCAAGUCUGACCCAGCAACGCCGCGUGAAGGAAGAAGGCUUUCGGGUUGUAAACUUCUUUUAAGGGGGAAGAGUAGAAGACGGUACCCCUUGAAUAAGCCACGGC